AAUAAAUGAAAAAAUAAAAUAAACAGUUCUUAAAAACAGAAUAAAAGCGAGGGAAUGAAAAAGGAACAAAUUAAGCAAAGAAUGAAGAAAGAAUGAAAACAUAUUAAGCAAGUAAAAACCACUUAAAUAUAAUUAUAUAUUCACAUGAACCAACAGGAAAAAGAGUGAAGCAAGAAAAGAAAGUAAGAACAAAGACAAAACUGAAAAACAACAAAAGGAUGAUGACGUGAGUAAAGAAAAGAAAGAGAAGCUGCGACAGUGUGUGAGGUGUGUGAUGGGAUGUGGACAGCGUCACAGUAGAGAUGAAACUGUUUCAAUCUCCUCCGUGAUGUGACACCUUCAACUCGCUCAGCAACAAACUCAAUAAUUUGCACCCUCACAUAGACAGCUGUGAUAUCACACCAAGUUCUUCACACACACACACACACACACACACACACACACACACACACACACACACACACACAAUAAUCAGUUUUACUGUUGAUCUGAUCUGAAGCCGAGGCUGAGGAGUGCGUUAUUAGGGCAGAGGGAGAAACGGUUCUGACUGUGACAGUGAACUCUGACCCUGAAAAUCAGAGGUUGCGUAACAUGGUGUGCAAGAACAUGCUGUGCCCAAGGAGAAAAUCACUCAUUUAACCACAAGAUCAACCCUGUGUGUGAGUGUGUGUGCACAUAGACAUAAGUUGUCAUCAGCACACACUGCAGUAAAGAAAAGAAAAAAAUGAAGCAAAACAACAAAACUGAACAAGAAGAUAAAAGAAGAUGGAAAAAAGAGCAAGAAACAAAGAAAGACAGACACUGUGUAUACAUUUCCUUUCUCUCUCUUAUUGUUCAUUUUUGUAGGUAUUAUUGUUUAUAAAUGUUUACUAGUUGUUAUUACUGUGUAAUUAUAUUGGUAAUGGUUAUUAAUGCUGUUUGCGGUGAUUAGUGGGUAUAAGUGGUUAUAGAUGGUUAUUAUUAGCUUCAGUACAGUGGUGUAUAUACACAUGUACACAUUUCUGCUGGUUUUUGCUGUGUAUUUGAGUUCAGCUGCCUUUGGGCUCCAGCACAUCAUCUCUUAUCGUCAUGUGUCCACUUUUACACACACUUGAGUAGUUUCAAGCAGAAAAGCACUCAAAUACUUCAGUGUGAGUGUAACCACAGCCAUACCAGUGAGGAGUCUUUCAGCAUACUCACUCCUUCUCUUUCUCUCUCUCUCUCUCUCUCUCACACACACACACACACACACACACAGCUCCUGUAACAGUAGUGCACAUUUAAAGCCAUCUACCGAAUCCACUCUGCUUCUGCCAUUUCAUCAUUCUCCAGAAAUGGAGCUUGACUUUUGCAAACACUUGUACAAAAGUGUAGCGUAAAGAGCUAUCUACCGCUAACACCUGCUUCGGCUCACAGAGGUGCGAUUGGCUAAUGUUGCUGUGCACUUGUUGAGGAAACUACAGUUUAUUGCUGCUAUAAUGUGAAUGAGAACAGGAAACGACUGGCAUCAUGGGCGUUGUACAACAGUAAAGCAACUUUGCAUUUCAAAUGAGUGUUUACUACCAGGGGAGUGUGUGUUACUCCAUCACAGAGGAGGGACACAUGCUCAGGAAAUGUCACACUCUCUUACUCACACGCAUGUGUCAAGUGUCAAUUACUCUCAUAGGUUUGAGCAGCAUUUCCCUACGAGAAGCUGAGCUUUUUGGAGGCCACAGAACCUCUUGUGAUCCUGGUUCCAGCAGCGCUCUCCAUAAUGGCCGUUGAUGGUGGUCUGGACACAUGUGAUCUUUCCAACGAUGGUUCCAGGACAGAUGUCGCCACACUCGCGCUCGUUUUUGUUUGCCA